GAUGAACGCUGGCGGCGUGCCUAAUACAUGCAAGUCGAGCGAACAGACGAGGAGCUUGCUCCUCUGACGUUAGCGGCGGACGGGUGAGUAACACGUGGAUAACCUACCUAUAAGACUGGGAUAACUUCGGGAAACCGGAGCUAAUACCGGAUAAUAUAUUGAACCGCAUGGUUCAAUAGUGAAAGACGGUUUUGCUGUCACUUAUAGAUGGAUCCGCGCCGCAUUAGCUAGUUGGUAAGGUAACGGCUUACCAAGGCGACGAUGCGUAGCCGACCUGAGAGGGUGAUCGGCCACACUGGAACUGAGACACGGUCCAGACUCCUACGGGAAGCAGCAGUAGGGAAUCUUCCGCAAUGGGCGAGAGCCUGACGGAGCAACGCCGCGUGAGUGAUGAAGGUCUUCGGAUCGUAAAACUCUGUUAUUAGGGAAGAACAAAUGUGUAAGUAACUAUGCACGUCUUGACGGUACCUAAUCAGAAAGCCACGGCUAACUACGUG
rnacentral:rRNA from 1 species